rnacentral:lncRNA from 1 species
AUGGCUCAAUCGGAAGAAAAUUUUGAUCUACUCUGUGUCGAACACGAUGAAGAUUUUGAUCAGAACCACUCUUCAAGUGAGUCGAGCAGUUCCUCAAGCAGCAGUUCUUCUAGUGAUGAAGAAGAGGACAGAUAUGAAGAUUAUGAAGGUACUCAUUACAGCAACUAUGAAGAAGAUAUUGAUCAUGGAACAGUGCAGGAAUUCAUUAUCGAGGAAGUUUCUGACGCAGUAGGCGAAGUUUAUGAAGAAGCUCUUCAAGCAGUCGUGGAAGAUGUGGCAGAUUUAGAAAUUCAGAGCCCAGGGAACCCGAGCCAUGUCUCCUACGAUUAUGUCAUCAAAGAGCUGAAAAAUAAGAAAAGUGGAAGCAGCAGCUCCAGUAGUAGCAGUAGCAGCAGUGGUGGUAGUCAUGGAAAGGUCAAAGCUAAAAAUGUAGGUUCUCAUUACAUUCCAACGCCCAUACCAGUCCCAAUUCAUUCCGGACAGCAUUACACAGAACCUCAGCACUAUGCAGAGCCCCCACAUUAUGCCGAACCUCAACAAUUUGGCAGUUAUUAUGAAGGCUAUGUUCCGUAUCCUCUUGUGAGUAUUUUCGUGUUUUCAUCUGUUCUAUAUCAAUGGUAAAAUAUUAUGGAGUCACAUAUCUUGAUCUUGGUUUCUGGAAACCUCCACAUAAACUUGAUUUUACUGAGAGAACAAUAUUAAAAAUUUUCUUAUAAAAUCCUCAGGACUAUUCUUGAGGAGGCAAACUUAAUUGAGUAAAAUUGUUUAAGUUUGAUUAGGUUUCAUUAAAUUCAAGCUUCAAUAAAGUAAAUCAAGACAGUGAGGCUGAAAUGUUACAAAUUGAGGUAUGUGGUUUUGUUGUGUUACCAUCGAUCUCUAUUUUAAUACUUGUGUUUUAUUUGCCUUCGAACAAUCAAAAACUAGUUGGAAAGUAAUUAUUUGAUUCAUUUUAUAAAUCUUGAAACUCCGAAUCAUCAUCUCACUUUCAAUUUGAUACUUCUCAACUUGAAAAGUGAAGAAUCAAGGUUACCAAGCGAUAUCAACGAAGUGUGUUCAGUUUGUUAAUCCAUUUCAAACUCUGGUAGGAAAGGCUACCCACUGAGAGUUUUCACUUGCCACUAUUUUUCUGAAUUUUAGGGAAUUUUUCUGCAGCGUCAGGUCUAUUCAAGUUAGUUCUUGAUUUUGCAUUUACUAUCAGUCAGCAUUCAUUAUUCACAAGUGAUGUACUUAUUGGGAUUUAAAAAAAGGCUAGAACCUCUCCAAAAAUUCUCUUCUUUUCUUCUCUUCUCAAGAAAUUUCAAGUACGACCUGACCAUUCUUCAUGAGUACUAAGUACCUGACCUUUCUUCAUAAGUAUUACCUUACUCAGUUGCUCUCUACCAAAAAACAAAGAGCAUUCAACCCAGACUUAGAGACUUUCUUACCCCCAUCCUGUUUUUCCCCAAGUAUGUAAGCUUACACUCAACACUGACACUCCCCCUCCACCUCAUGAUUAUUUCAUUUUCUUUUCUGGUAACCAUUAAACAAGAAUUGACCCUCAAAUUAGCUUGUUUGCUUAGGGAAGUAGCAUGUUUGUCCUCCCUGAAGCCCCAGAUUGUGGAGAGCUCCCUGUAAUACCAGCUAGAGAAUGUUUUAGAAUGCCUCUUAUGAAAAUUUGGAAAAGCUUCUUCCAUCCAGAAAUGAUAUUGCCUGGAAAUAGUGCGAUACCUACUAUUGUACAUGUCGGGCUCAGAGUAAAAGUACAAUGCUCUCACAAACUCUCCUGAAAAAAUUGAUGCUCCGUCCAGGUUACUAGAACCUAACUCAAUAAAGAUGGGACAAGCGCCUGGGACAUCAAUUAAAUUUUAGACUCAUUUUCUUUAAAUAUGUUUUAAAUUUUGCUAGAUGGACAAAAUCUGUCGGAGAACACAGAAAGUUAUUUUUUGAACUUUAUGAAUUAGUCUUGCUACAUGCUCUCAAAAAAUCGUCGUUGAUGUUCACAUAUUAUCAGAAAUUCAAUCAAAAAUUCAGUUUUCAUUUUGUGAGUGUAACUCACUGCCUGACAGAGCGAACUCCCGAACUCGAAAACAAUGAUCCCCUCCCUCCGCACAUGUUUACGGAUUGUUUCCCUACAUUUUUCGUUUUGAUUAUUUUGAGAAUGAAACUGUACUAUUAUUAUUAUGAAUUCUGCGGUCCGACCAUCCCUUUCGAUUCCACUCGAUUGUUGACCUCAAGCCGAAAAAGGUGUGCGACGUGAUCGUCGCGUUAAGUCGGACGUCCCGUGAUGCGGUGUUUAAUGUUAAUUCUUUUCCUGAGUUCUGAGGUGCGGUGCGGCGCGGCGCGGCCGGCGCCAAGUGGUCUGUGCGAAAAUGCCCUAAAAUUUCUCCGCUUUUAGUACUUAAUUGCCAACUGCGGCUGUAGGACUUAUCGGUCCCGAUAAGUUUAUAGCGUUCGAUGUGAUAUAUAAAGUAGGAUGGGUGCGGGAAUUUCGCCCAUGGUGCGGCGGUGCCAAACGCCAAGCGUGUUACAGACAGAUAUGUAAAAAUGAAAUCCCACUUUAAUUUCAUUCUCUUCAAAAUUUCUAUGAUUUUUCAAGGGCUGCAUCUGCAAUCCGCGCAAUAAUUAUCUGAGAAUCUGAUGAGAAACUCUUGAAACGGCCCCUUCAAUGGCUAGGUGUGGAUGCAACUAUUCGUGUCCUCGGGACGUCCGUGUUGCAUACGCACAAAAUUGCGGGCGCUCUAGUUUUCUUAGGCGCAACGCAUGGCUGCGGUAGUUAAUUCUCAAGGGUUUUCUACGUUGCGUUUACAAUCAUGUGUAUACGAUGAAAUCCUCAAAAUUCGGAUGAGUCGUUUAGUACCACGACAACGUCAUCGGUAGUAAUUCGAAAGAUAAAUAUCUGCGAUGCCGUUAUGGAAAUAUUUUUGUAGGAAUCUUUGCACCACUUGGCAAUACUGCCGUGAUGCAACAUGGCUCAUUCGAUCUCCGAGGAUAUCAUGUUAGUAAACACGAUAGUAAAUGCAACGUAGAAAACCCUUGAGAUUUAACAACCGCAGCCGUAAUGAAUAUAGUACCUAAGAAACACAUAGCGCCUUCAAUUUUUUGCGUAUGCAACAAGGACAUCCCGCGAACACGUAUAGUUGCAUCCACCCCUAGCCAUUGAAGAGGCCGGAGCGCUUUCAAUUUUUUCCGCUUGCGUUAACAAAAUGUGUAACUGACUGUAUUCGUACGUCGUCAUUGAACGAAGAUAGGGCAGUUUUUGUAUUUUAUCAAAUUGACGGAAAGAAAUAAGUAAAUUAACGAUAAAUACAUAAAUAAAAUGGAGACUAUUAGUGCGGUAAUUACGCGUCAAUGACCUCAAUCU